UACGGAGGAUGCGAGCGUUAUCCGGAUUUAUUGGGUUUAAAGGGUGCGUAGGCGGCUUUUUAAGUCAGCGGUGUAAUUUUGCAGCUUAACUGUAACAGUGCCGUUGAUACUGGGGAGCUAGGAUUUGGUUGCUGUGGGUGGAAUGUGUGGUGUAGCGGUGAAAUGCUUAGAGAUCACACAGAAUAUCGAUUGCGAAGGCAGCUCACAAAGCCAAGAUUGACGCUGAGGCACGAAAGUGUGGGGAUCAAACAGGAUUA
rnacentral:rRNA from 1 species